UACGGGGGGGGCAAGCGUUGUUCGGAAUUACUGGGCGUAAAGGGCUCGUAGGUGGCCAACUAAGUCAGACGUGAAAUCCCUCGGCUUAACCGGGGAACUGCGUCUGAUACUGGAUGGCUUGAGUUUGGGAGAGGGAUGCAGAAUUCCAGGUGUAGCGGUGAAAUGCGUAGAUAUCUGGAGGAAUACCGGUGGCGAAGGCGGCAUCCUGGACCGAGAUUGACACUGAGGAGCGAAAGCCAGGGGAGCAAACGGG
rnacentral:rRNA from 1 species